CUAGUGUGCCAUGUAGGCAAGAGAGCAUCUCAGCCCUGAAUGAUCUGCCAGCUCUGAAGGUCCAAACCCAGGGCUGAAGGAUGUUUCAGGGACUGAUCACGAGCAAUAUUCUACAGCAAGACCACUUGUUCAGGUACAGACACCUGAUGUCUCUGUCACAAGAGGAUGCUGGCUAGAAGAAGAGAGAGACACAGACUGGGAGCUGGAAAAAGAAGGAUGGGGGGAAAAUCGCAGUGAUGAAAUCAAGGAGAUGGCGUUAAAAGAGCAAGAUCAUACAAAACUUUUGGGAAGAGAAUAAGGAUUCAACCAAGAAGUAAAAAUCUUCAUUUCAAGGCUGAGAAAGAUGUGAAGCUGAGCAUUUAUGAAGAGGUCCCUGGCUUACAUAAGGGAUACCGGCAAAGUAGUUACCAUUGCUUCUACCAUAGGAGACCAUGAAUUUAACCUGCAUUUACCUCAGCUGUCACUGCCAUGUGAAGAGUGCUUGUUUCAAUAAAAUCUCAUCUUAAAAGUCUACAGUGCCUUUACCCAAAGAAAUAAGCAUAGAAUAGAGUAUUUCAGUUGGAAGGGACCUACAACAAACAUCUAGUCCAACUGCCUGACCACCUCAGGACAAAACAAAAGUUAAAGCAUGUUAUCGAGGGCCUUUUCCAAAUGUCUCUUAUACAUUGACAGGCUGGGGACAGGGAU